rnacentral:rRNA from 1 species
UUUAACUGAGCGUUCAGUUACUUGACGUAGACCCGAAACCGGGCGACCUACCCAUGAGCAGGAUGAAGCGAAAGUAAAAUUUCGUGGAGGUCCGAACCCACGAGCGUUGAAAAGCUCGGGGAUGACUUGUGGGUAGCGGUGAAAUUCCAAUCGAGCCCGGAGAUAGCUGGUUCUCCCCGAAAUAGCUUUAGGGCUAGCCUCAAGGUGAGAGAUACGGAGGUAGAGCACUGAAUGUCCUAGGGGGUAUUGCACCUACCGAAGACUAUCAAACUCCGAAUGCCGUCAUCUUAUACUUGGGAGUCAGACUGUGGGUGAUAAGAUUCAUAGUCGAAAGGGCAACAGCCCAGAUCGUCAGCUAAGGUCCCUAAAUGUAAGUUAAGUGGUAAAGGAUGUGGGAUUGCACAGACAACCAGGAUGUUGGCUUAGAAGCAGCCACUCAUUCAAAGAGUGCGUAAUAGCUCACUGGUCGAGUGAUCCUGCGCCGAAGAUUUCCGGGGCUAAAACUUACUACCGAAGCUACGGCAUCAGUAAUGAUGGGUAGGGGAGCUUCCCAUACGGGUUGAAGCAUGACCGUAAGGACAUGUGGACAGUAUGGGAGUGAGAAUGUUGGCAUGAGUAGCGAGAUGUGGGUGAGAAUCCCACAGGCCGUAAACCCAAGGUUUCCAGGGGAAGGUUCGUCCGCCCUGGGUUAGUCGGGACCUAAGCUGAGGCCGAAAGGCGUAGGUGAUGGACAACAGGUUGAUAUUCCUGUACUACCGAUAACCGUUUGAGAGAAGGGAUGACACAGUAGGAUAAGCUAAGCACACUGUUGGUUAUGUGUGCCCAAGCAUUGAGGCAGUCAAAGUAGGCAAAUACGCUUUGAUAAUGCUGGGAUGUGAUGGGGAGCGAAAUUUAGUAGCGAAGUAGCUGAUUUCACACUGUCAAGAAAAGUCUCUAUCGAGGUUAAAGGUACCCGUACCGCAAACCGACACAGGUGGGUGAGGAGAGUAUCCUAAGGCCAGCGAGAGAACUGUUGUUAAGGAACUCGGCAAAAUGACCCCGUAACUUAGGGAUAAGGGGUGCCACCAUCAGGUGGCCGCAGAGAAUAGGCCCAAGCGACUGUUUACCAAAAACAUAGGUUUCUGCUAAGUCGCAAGACGAUGUAUAGGAGCUGACGCCUGCCCGGUGCUGGAAGGUUAAGGGGAUCUGUUAGAGCAAUCGAAGCAGUGAACUUAAGCCCCAGUAAACGGCGGCCGUAACUAUAACGGUCCUAAGGUAGCGAAAUUCCUUGUCGGGUAAGUUCCGACCCGCACGAAAGGCGUAACGAUUUGGGCACUGUCUCAACAACAGACUCGGUGAAAUUGUAAUUCCGGUGAAGAUGCCGGAUACCUGCGACAGGACGGAAAGACCCCAUGGAGCUUUACUGUAGCUUGACAUUGGGUCUUGGUACUACAUGUACAGGAUAGGUGGGAGGCUUUGAAACCAGGACGCCAGUUUUGGCGGAGCCAUCCUUGGGAUACCACCCUUGUAGUACUGGGACUCUAACCAUAGGCCAUGAAUCUGGUCUUGGGACACUGUCAGGUGGGCAGUUUGACUGGGGCGGUCGCCUCCCAAAAGGUAACGGAGGCGCUCAAAGGUUCUCUCAGUACGGUCGGAAAUCGUACGUAGAGUGUAAAGGCAAAAGAGAGCUUGAUUGCAAGACAUACAGGUCGAGCAAGGAUGAAAAUCGGACUUAGUGAUCCGGUGGUUCUGCGUGGAAGGGCCAUCGCUCAACGGAUAAAAGCUACCCUGGGGAUAACAGGCUUAUCUCCCCCAAGAGUCCACAUCGACGGGGAGGUUUGGCACCUCGAUGUCGGCUCAUCACAUCCUGGGGCUGUAGUAGGUCCCAAGGGUUGGGCUGUUCGCCCAUUAAAGUGGUACGCGAGCUGGGUUCAGAACGUCGUGAGACAGUUCGGUCCCUAUCCGUCGCAGGCGUAGGAAAUUUGAGAAGACCUGUCCUUAGUACGAGAGGACCGGGAUGGACG